CGAGGGCACGGUAAGCGAAGAGGCGCUGGCACGGUGUAAAGAGGGUCUCCAAAGCUAUGAAUCACGUCCCUCGAUCACACCGAACAAAGGAGUCGCAGAGAACGGAGUCGCACGGCCGGCAUCUGGUCACUAUUUGCACGGUGCCGCGGAUCAUACUCAGUGAAGAACUUGCGCUUACGUCAGUAACCGCAACACACAACACACAACGCGAGGCAACGCAGUAAAAAUCCACCGCAUGAACAAAACUCG
rnacentral:lncRNA from 1 species